GCGGCCGCUGGCGACACUAGGCGCACUGAAGCCCGAGCCGAGCCGAGCCCGAGCCGCCGCCGCCGCCGCCGCUGCUGCGCACCGCUCCCGGGCUCCCUCCCAGCGCGCCGGCCGGGGUGUGGGGGGCGGCGGGCCGGAGGGGCGAGGGCGGGCCAGGGGGCGCACACGGGGGUUGGCGCGGAAGACAGGACCCUCAGCCUCGAGGGAGCCCCUAGGUGACCAGGCAAAAUGGCAGUUCCUUCCAGCUGGUCCUCAGAUGGGCACAUCUAUUAGCCUCUGCUCUUGUAAGAAGUUAGCUGCAGAACCCACAUGUGAAUCCUUGUAGGACUCUGGAGAAGAUCAAAUGGGAGCUUAGAUGUGGAAGCUCUUUGGAAACCAAGAAACACUCUGAAAAUGAAAAGGGUGGAAGAGUAAACUGUUCCUGUUUCUCCAUCUUGACAGGAAGCAGAAGUUCUCCUUAGCUGAUUUUUCUUCUUGCCUUAUACUGGGUUCUUUAACACCAGAACAAAAAUAAAUAAAUAAAAGAAUCUUCCAGAAAUUCAUGAAGAGACUUCAGGUCAGGAAAGCCUGAACUUUCUCAUCCAACACCCGUUCAAGUCGGAGGAUGCUGAUUAAUUCAUGAUGGAAAGGUAUCAAUUUCACAGCCCAGACCUCUACAUUCUUGAAAUGCUCUUCUCAUGGGAGACAUUAAAUAAGCUUUGAAUUAACUGAGACCUCUGUGGAUUCUAUAACUCAAAGACCCAGGCUGACGGCUGGUGGAAUAGCUACCAUCUCAAACAUGGCGUGAUGCUGCAUCAGAGAGAAAAAUAAGCUCUUGCAUUGACAAUGAAAUGUCUACCCUGU